AAAAAAAAAUCAUUUCUCUCUUCGUUGUAGAGAAAUCGGCGACGAAUCUGAAACUCAGAGCAACAACUAAGACUCAACAACAAUGAGGGCCAAGUGGAAGAAGAAGCGUAUGAGGAGGUUGAAGAGGAAGCGUCGAAAGAUGAGACAGCGAUCCAAGUAGACCCACACACCCAAGUUUCCGCUCCCCUCCUCCCCCCCCAAUAAAUCUCUCAGCCGCUCUCAGUGAUUCUGUUUACUUUUAGUUUUGUUUUCUUGAGACUUUUUUUUCUUCUUUUAAUAUAUCUGAGUUUGAACAUUCUGUGAUGUAUGUAAAACUUGCUUUGUUCUCUCUUUUUUCAAAAUAUAUAUCGUCACAGAUACUCCUUAUCUCUGAA